GGAAAUAUUGUCUCUUAAGAAAAAUCCUUCUUCAGACCUUUUUCUAUCCUGGUAUCAGAGCUGCUAUGGCCAACGCCUCUCUUAAUGUCUCACCGCCAAUCACCGCUGUUUUCACCACUCCUCCAUUAAAUCAACUAUUAAACCAACUUCCCUCCAUCAAACUUGAUCAGACGAAUUACCUUCUAUGGAAGACAAUGGCACUCCCAAUUUUGAAAAGUUAUAAGUUAGAGGGACAUCUAAAGGGUGAAACACCCUGCCCCCGAAAUUUCUCUCUUCAGCCACUGGUGAGUCUACAGAAACAGUCAGGUAAUCAGUGAAGAUACGACAGCUUAUUCAUCCACCUUAAUGGAUUCAAAAAUCGUGAACCCAAAGUAUGAACAAUGGGUCACCUCCGAUCUACUUUUACUUGGAUGGAUUUAUAAUUCCAUGGUACCGGAUGUAGCACUUCAACUCAUUGGAUUUAAUACAGCAAAGGAUCUUUGGGAGGCCAUUCAAAUUUUGUUUGGAAUUCAAUCAAGGGCAAAAGAAGAUUUUCUUCGUCAAACCUUCCAAACUACUCAGAAAGGUAAUUAUAAAAUGAAAGAUUACUUGAGAAUUAUGAAAACUAACGCAGAUAAUCUCGGCCAGGCCGAGAGCCCUAUUCCUCUUCGCUGUUUAAUUACACAGGUGUUAUUAGGGCUUGAUGAAGUUUACAACCCUGUUACUGCGGUUAUUCAAGGUAAACCCGACAUAUCUUUGCUAGAUAUGCAAUCUGAGUUAUUGAUCUUUGAAAAGCGUCUUGAACAUCAAAAGUCUCAAAGAAAUCCGGGCAAUGUUAUCUCAAAUCCCUUUCUCAUGCUUAUCAGAUUGGUGGAAACCAUUCUAAUCAAAAUGGACAGUGAAACAAUUCUAAUGGCCGCGGACGUGGUCGAGGAAGAGGUAACAAACCUACAUGUCAGGGAUGUGGAAAAUAUGGCCACUUAGCUUUGAUUUGUUGUGAUAGAUACAAUAAAGAAGUCGUUGGAAAUGUAAAUCAGAAUAAAGGAUUUAAUCCAAAUCAGAAUGGAAAACAAAUUCCUGCUGCUGCCUUUAUUACCACCCAGAAAUCAUCUUCAUUAGCCACACCUGAAACUGUAGUUGAUACAAAUUGGUAUGUCGAUAGUGGUGCUACAAAUCAUGUUACAUCUGAUCAUUCAAAUCUGUGGAAUAUUACCAAUUAAUCAGGCCAAGGAUACGGGUCGAGUACUGCUGAAAGGAACACUUUGUGAUGGCUUAUAUUACCUUGAAGGUGUGGCUGUGAAGUCGGUUGGUGAGUUGGAGCAUAGUGAUAAUAGUAAGAAACAGUUUCAGCACAUAAAUAAUGCAUCAAUAUUAGUGUUGUCUGAAAAAGUCAGUAGUAGUAUUGGUGCUUCCAAAACUGUUAGGCAUAGACGUCUUGGUCACCCAUCUAUGAAGAUUUUAAAUUCCUUACUUCAAGAUUGUAAUAAGCUUGUUAAUGAUAAUGAAGAGCCAAAAUUUUGUGAA